rnacentral:misc_RNA from 1 species
CGACCCUCAAGUAUAGCUUGGUGUUGGGUAAAGUCCCUUUAGUGGGGACUCACCCUUAACUCGUAGGCGGUCAUCGCCCUUUCUCCUUCAGCGUAGCAGGCUCACGCACUCGCUCAGGAAUAGGCGGUUUGACUCGCUAAAUAAAAACCCUUUUUAAAG